CUCUUGGGGGACCCAUUCCUUGCCGCAACUGAUGAGAGAGAUUUAACUCCUCUAUGUAGAUUGCCGCCACAACUGGCAAUCCAGAAUUUGGCUGCAAAUGGAACGGUGUUAGAGCAUCUGCCGUCAACGACUGAUCCAACUAGAACAACAGAUAUGUCGAUAACAGGAAGGAUGAACUCAGAAGACCAUAACAUCUUUCUUCAAGUACAGAUAUUAGAUGGCAAUGGUACGUUAAAGUUCUACUUACUAGAAAGUUCUUGUUUGCCUAGUUUGUCCGGUAUAUGCUUAUUGUUGGGUUGCUAGAAACUUGCUCAGCUGAACCGGACUACAGGAUUUGGAGCAGCCUUGUAUUAUUAGCGGUUGAUCAUAGGGAAUAAAUGAACUAUUGUAACCGUAGCGUCUAAUUUUUGGGUAACCUGAAUGGUGAAACUUGGAUGGAAGAACUACCAAUGGAAAAUGUUUUUAUGAAUCUGUUUGGAUGUGUCACAGGUCACAUGAGGAACAUUCAG
rnacentral:lncRNA from 1 species